AUUGAACGCUGGCGGUAUGCCUAACACAUGCAAGUCGAACGGCAGCACGAGGAGCUUGCUCCUUGGUGGCGAGUGGCGGACGGGUGAGUAAUAUGUAGGAAUCUACCUUGAGGUGGGGGAUAACUUGGGGAAACUCAAGCUAAUACCACAUAAGCCCUACGGGGGAAAGCAGGGGAUCUUCGGACCUUGUGCCUUUAGAUGAGCCUACAUUGGAUUAGUUUGUUGGUGGGGUAAUGGCCUACCAAGACUACGAUCCAUAGCUGGUUUGAGAGGAUGAUCAGCCACACUGGGACUGAGACACGGCCCAGACUCCUACGGGAGGCAGCAGUGGGGAAUAUUGGACAAUGGGCGAAAGCCUGAUCCAGCAAUACCGCGUGUGUGAAGAAGGCCUGAGGGUUGUAAAGCACUUUCAGUAGGGAGGAAGGUAUCAAUGUUAAUACCAUUGGUAAUUGACGUUACCUACAGAAGAAGCACCGGCUAACUCUG
rnacentral:rRNA from 1 species